rnacentral:rRNA from 1 species
GCGUUAAUCGGAAUUACUGGGCGUAAAGCGCACGCAGGCGGUUUGUUAAGUCAGAUGUGAAAUCCCCGGGCUCAACCUGGGAACUGCAUUUGAAACUGGCAAGCUAGAGUCUCGUAGAGGGGGGUAGAAUUCCAGGUGUAGCGGGGAAAUGCGUAGAGACCUGGAGGAAUACCGGUGGCGGAGGCGACCCCCUGGACGAAGACUGACGCUCAGGUGCGAAAGCGUG